CUCGUGGUAGCGUUUUUAAAAGAUAAAAGUUUCCGUGUAGGGAACAGUUUUUAAAAGAUUUUCUGUGAUUUUUGUAUCUUAGUAUUUCAAAAUCUGUUUCUGUGGUUGGAAAUAUUUUAACUAAUAGAUGUGAAUCUGUGGUGAAUGCUGUAUGAAUAUAUAUAACAGUUGGUUGUUUGUAUGUUCAUUUGUUGUGGUUGUGCCUGGGUGACUUCUUGUACUUGUGCGACACCGUGCAUAUACAGGGGAGACUCUGUCCGUGUGAACAGUGGAUUCCCUGUAUUUGUGGCGGAUCUGGCAUACUCUGGGGUCAGGUUUUCAAAAAAAAAAAUUCAGACG
rnacentral:lncRNA from 1 species